GAAAUGCGAUAAUUAAUGUGAAUUGCAGAAUUCAGUGAAUCAUCGAGUCUUUGAACGCACAUUGCGCCCCCUGGUAUUCCGGGGGGCAUGCCUGUCCGAGCGUCAUUGCUGCCCUCAAGCACGGCUUGUGUGUUGGGCUUCCGUCCCUGGCAACGGGGACGGGCCCAAAAGGCAGUGGCGGCACCAUGUCUGGUCCUCGAGCGUAUGGGGCUUUGUCACCCGCUCCCGUAGGUCCAGCUGGCAGCUAGCCUCGCAACCAAUCUUUUUAACCACGUUGACCUCGGAUCAGGUAGGGAUACCCGCUGAACUUAAGC
rnacentral:misc_RNA from 1 species